AUGAUGAUAAUGUUUGUCCUUUGAUUUUUUCACAUUUAAAAUAUAUUGUUUAUCUAUUCGGCUGUUUCUCUCAUUAUCUUUGUUUUUUGUUUUUCUGAAUUCAAUUCUAAAAUUCUGAUCGUAAAACUUCAAAAGGGCGAAAUUUUGAAGGCGUUUUACCAGAUGAUUAUCAUUAUCAUCAUCAUCAUGUUUAUGAAAACCAAAACAAAAAAACAGCAAUCAAAAAAAUGAUCGAAUAAAAGAGAGCAAAAACUCAUGAUGACCUUGACAUUGAACAAAUCAUAAUUGAUUGACCACUGUUUGUUUUUCUUAUUUGGACAUCAAAAGUUAAAAACCAUAUUUUCAAAUUGAUUGACAUAUCUACGGAAAUCGAUCAAAUGGUGGCUAUUUCGAUCGAAUCGAAUGAUUCGAAAAAAAAACGAUUCGAAAAUAAAAAUCCUG